AACUAGAAUUACAUGUCCAUUCAAACUAUCCAUUAUUUAUAAGGUAGGACAAGCAAACUCUCAGAAAAUUAUUUUCCCAAGACUUUUUUCUAAUGAAGCUACUAGAGGAAGCACUCCAACAAAAUGAGACCACAAACAAUAAAGGACUAUAUAGAUUAUUAUUUAAAAAAAAAAAAACUAAGGAAUUGAAAACAGAAAGGGGUGACAGAGUUGCACAGAUGUUAGGAGAGCAGCAGGCCAGGAGCUUAAUCACACCAUGAAGGUAUCCAGGAUGUCUCCAAGGAAGCAAAUGGAUUUCUCAAUGUAUUGGACCCACUGCAGGGACUGAAUUUUCCUUUAGUGGGCCCUUGUAAUCCCUGGAAAAUCAAAAAGUUAUUAGAAGAAGAAAAAAAAAAAGAUUAUCACCAGACACUGCAUUGCUUAGCUAUGAGUGAUGUAUGUCUAUUAUCAUAAUUAUAUCAGCACUGAAUAUUGAACUUCCUAAAAAUUGUGAUUACUUGCAUUAGAAAAGUUGAGGGGAACAAAUGUAUAUGUGUGUGAGAGUCUGCGUGUUUGUAAGUCUGUGUACAUGUGUAGUGGAGAAGUGAAAGUGACAUAAGAAAUUGAAAUACUUGGGACUGGAAAUGUGGCUCAAUGGUAGAGCUCUUGCCUAGCUUGUGUGAGGUACUGGGUUCAAUUCUCAGUACCACUUUAAACAAACAAAAAAAUAAAAAACAAAUAAAAUAAAGGUAUUGUGUCCAUCCACAUGUAAAAGAAAAUUUAAAAAAAAGAAAUUGCAAUACUCUUGAAAUACUUGUUUUCAUAGGAGGAAUGUUAUGGCUAUUAUCUAAAU
rnacentral:lncRNA from 1 species